rnacentral:ribozyme from 1 species
ACUCGUCUGGGCGAGUAUAAAUAGUAAUUAGGCCUAGAGCGUCCCGGUCAGCUGCCGGGGGUUUAG